ensembl:lncRNA
GGUAAAACUUGCCAUCCUGGAAACCAGAGAUUUAAAGGAGUUUUAGAUCCUUGGUCUGUCUUUCACUUAUACAUCCACGAGCUAGUUAUGGCGGAGAUACUGAGAUAGUUAGUACUCACUGAGCUAUUUAAUACUAAAAAUAUUUAACCCUACCUUCUUUUAUGCUGGAAUGAUACAUGAUGACACUAACAAGGGAUGGUACACAUCGCAAGAAUCUGACUUUACAUCAGAAAUUAUUAUUUUCAAAUAAAUCUUAUGAGAGCUUUUCUUUGCACAUUAUCCACAAAUAUGAGUUGCUCAGCAAUUUUAUCUCUAUAUCUAGGAGAUACAUCCUGGAUUCAACUGUAGUUAUAUCUUAUUGUAGUGGAUAUUUUAAAAAAUAGCAAUGAAAUUAGGCAUUUUUUAUUAGUUAACUUAUGUCUGUUGUAAAAAUAUUUAUACAUCAUACAUAACUUACAGAUAAAGUUUACAGAUAAAAUAAAAGGCACAUUGAAAACAAUGCCAUUUGCUCUAUUAGAUCAAUCAGUACAGGAGAACAUCAGAAUUGUAGCAAAAUAAGCAUCCUGAAACAUAUUUUAAUUCAGAAAAACACAUAACCAAGUUUAAUCUGAAGUAUCUGCGUUAGUACGUUGUCAGAUCAAAACUUGCUAAAUCUGCCUGCCUCAUACAAGGGGUUGAACUGAGGACACUUUUCCUCCCCUGGGACCAGACUAUGAACUGGAAAGAAAAAUUAACUGCACAAAUUAAAGCGGUGUUAAUAACUUCAUAGGAGAGCUUUUUUAAUGAAAGGAGAGCAUGGAUAUUCACUUCUGCUUUUGGAGACUGUUUUUGUUAUCUGACGUAACUAUCUCGUUUGCCUUGUGGUGGCCUGUAAAUGGAUCAUGCCAAAAAUAGGGAUUGCAGGCAUAAUGAAAUGGGAAAGAAUUUAGAAAGUGAAUUCAAACAGAAGAAUCUAUGGGAGAAGUUCAGAUUUGUGAGUCUCUCGGUCUUGCCUUUCCUAAGCUUUUUCUCUGAAACACUCAUGAAACGAGAAAUCCUUUGAGAAGCUCACCUCACAGCUACCACCUCACAAGAACAGUGAGCUGUGUUUGGAGAGAUGCUUCCUGCAAACCAGUCACUCACUCGCAGGACUGAAGCUUUCCUAGCUUAUACCCAGUGAAAGCAUUACCAUGCCUCUUUUCUAUGGUGAUAUGUAACUUUCUUUUCAGUGCAAAUGUGAUGCAUUGAAUAGCUCUGCUUUCCUGUACAACAGAACUGAUAAAAUUUCAUCUCAUCAUUCACGUAGGAAAGAAUAAAUCCAUUUGGUCAGGCUCACAUUUUAACUGAACAGAACCUCUAUUUGAAGUGCAUCCAAUUUUGAUUUAUGGAGCUGGUGUGAAUAAUUUUGUAUGGACGUGCUUCAGUUAAAUCUGUUUUGGAUUUUU